AAGAAAUUCUGUCCAAAAUUUUUUAUUAUAUAUAUACGCUUUCGAGUUUUAAUUACAUUUUGGUAUACAACUUAUAGGUUGGUUUGGUAAUUGCUGCAGGUACAGUUGGAUAUUUUAUCGAUCAAUCCGAUAAAACGUUUGACAAAACAGGCGUUUUUCGUCAAUUGAUUAUUGAUUCAGGAUUUUACGGAAGGGAAGAAUUUUUUUUGUUUGCUACGGGCAUUGGAUUUUUCAUCGCUAUCCUCUCCCUGGUCAUCGGAAUCGCAAGUCUUGAAGAUAAAGUUCAUUGGGCCGCAAGUGUA